rnacentral:rRNA from 1 species
AGAGUUUGAUUCUGGCUCAGAAUGAACGCUGGCGGCGUGCUUAACACAUGCAAGUCGAACGAGAAAGUUCCUGCUUGCAGGAACGAGUAGAGUGGCGCACGGGUGAGUAACACGUGGAUAAUCUACCUUUGAAUCGGGAAUAACUGUUCGAAAGGGCAGCUAAUACCGGAUAAAGUCGAUAUUUCUUUGGAAAUGCUGAUGAAAGAGAGCCUCUGAUUUAAGCUUUCGUUUGAAGAUGAGUCCGCGCACCAUUAGCUUGUUGGUGGGGUAACGGCCUACCAAGGCGACGAUGGUUAGCUGGUCUGAGAGGAUGAUCAGCCACACUGGAACUGACACACGGUCCAGACUCCUACGGGAGGCAGCAGUGAGGAAUUUUGCGCAAUGGGGGAAACCCUGACGCAGCAACGCCGCGUGAGUGAAGAAGGCUCUUGGGUCGUAAAACUCUGUCAACAGGGAAGAAGUUAUCAUAUAUUAAUAGUGUAUGGUAUUGACGGUACCUGUGAAGGAAGCACCGGCUAACUCCGUGCCAGCAGCCGCGGUAAUACGGGGGGUGCAAGCGUUAUUCGGAAUUAUUGGGCGUAAAGGGCACGCAGGCGGUCCUGUCAGUCAGAUGUGAAAGUCCGGGGCUCAACCCCGGAAGUGCAUUUGAAACAGCAGGACUUGAGUACGGUAGAGGAAAGGGGAAUUCCUGGUGUAGAGGUGAAAUUCGUAGAUAUCAGGAGGAACACCGGUGGCGAAGGCGCCUUUCUGGACCUGUACUGACGCUGAGGUGCGAAGGCGUGGGUAGCGAACAGGAUUAGAUACCCUGGUAGUCCACGCAGUAAACGUUGUACACUAGGUGUUGCGGGUAUUGUCCCCUGCAGUGCCGGAGCUAACGCAUUUAGUGUACCGCCUGGGGAGUACGGUCGCAAGACUAAAACUCAAAGAAAUUGACGGGGGCCCGCACAAGCGGUGGAGCAUGUGGUUUAAUUCGACGCAACGCGCAGAACCUUACCCAGACUUGACAUCUUGAGAAUCCUUUAGAGAUAGAGGAGUGCCUUCGGGAGCUCAAAGACAGGUGCUGCAUGGCUGUCGUCAGCUCGUGCCGUGAGGUGUCGGGUUAAGUCCCAUAACGAGCGCAACCCCUAUCGUUAGUUGCCAGCGGGUCAAGCCGGGGACUCUAGCGAGACUGCCACCGUAAGGUGAGAGGAAGGUGGGGAUGACGUCAAAUCAGCACGGCCCUUAUGUCCAGGGCUACACACGUGUUAC